rnacentral:ncRNA from 1 species
AACAGGUGCCCUACGGGGCUUAAUAGGGAAGACCGGUGCAAAACCGGCGCGGUCCCGCCACUGUAAUGAGGAGUGAACCCGCAUAAUGCCACUGGGAUGGAAGUCUUGGGAAGGUGCGGGCCAGCGAUGAUUCAGAGCCAGGAGAACUGCCUGUUUAA